UGUACAAAGGUAGCAAAGUAGGUAGUUUAAUAAUUUUAAACCAGAAUAAAUGAUUAAACGGGAAAUCGGUUGUCCUCAGUUGGAAAUUAAAAGGUUUAUUUUAAGGAUUUCAAAAGGCCUUUUUUUUUUAAGAAGACGAUAAGACCCUAGAAGCUAAAAAUUUUACUGGGGUGGUGAUUUGAUUUAUCGUUUUAAAAAAAUAACUUAAACAAAGAUUUUUUUUAAAAUUUAAGCUACUCUAGGGAUAACAGCGCAAAAAUAUAAAUUAGACCAAAUAUUUUAUUAUUAUUGCGACCUCGAUGUUGAAUUGAUUUUUUAUAAUGAGCAU
rnacentral:rRNA from 1 species